rnacentral:rRNA from 1 species
AGAGUAUGAUACUGGCUCAGAACGAACGCCAGCGGCGUGGAUAAGGCUUGCAAGUCGCACGGCAAACCAGCAGCAAUGUUGGGAUUAAGUGGCGAAAGGGCUAGUAAUACGUGGAUAAUCUGCCUCCGAGACGGGGAAAACAGCUCGAAAGGGCUGCUAAUUCCCGAUGAUGCCGCGCGACGGGAGUCGCGUGGUCAAAGGUGGGGACCGAAAGGCCUAUCGCUCGGUGAGGAGUUCACGUCCUAUCAGUUAGUUGGCAGGGUAAUGGCCUACCAAGACAAUGACGGGUAGCGGGCCUGAGAGGGUGGUCCGCAGCACUGGGACUGAGACACUGCCCAGACUCCUACGGGAGGCUGCUUCGAGGAUCAUUUGCAAUGGGCGCAAGCCUGACAAUGCGACGCCGCGUGGAGGAUGAAGGCCUUCGGGUUGUAAACUCCUGUCACCCGUGAAGAAAUGGAUCAUGGCUAAUAUUCAUGGUUCUUGACGUUAGCGGGAGAGGAAGCUACGGCUAACUACGUGCCAGCAGCCGCGGUAAGACGUAGGUAGCAAGCGUUGUUCGGAAUCACUGGGCUUAAAGCGCGCGUAGGCGGCGUCGUAUGUCGGGUGUGAAAUCCCUUGGCUCAACCAAGGAAUUGUGCCCGAAACUACGGUGCUAGAGUGUAGAAGGGGACAGCGGAAUUCCUGGUGGAGCGGUGAAAUGCUUAGAUAUCAGGAGGAACACCGGUGGCGUAGGCGGCUGUCUGGUCUGCUACUGACGCUGUGGCGCGAAAGCCAGGGGAGCGAACGGGAUUAGAUACCCCGGUAGUCCUGUCCCUAAACGAUGGGCACUACGUAGAGGGAAGACCGAUCUUUUCUCUGCCGGAGCGAAAGUAUUAAGUGCCCCGCCUGGGGAGUACGAUCGCAAGGUUGAAACUCAAAGUAAUUGACGGGGGCUCGCACAAGCGGUGGAGCAUGUUGCUUAAUUCGAUGUACGCGAGGAACCUUACCUGGGCUUGACAUGCACGGAUUAGCUCCAAGAAACUGGAGUAACAGCCGCAAGGUUGGAACGUGCACAGGUGUUGCAUGGCUGUCGUCAGUUCGUGUCGUGAGAUGUCGGGUUAAGUCCCUUAACGAGCGAAACCCUUAUCCUUAGUUACCAGCGGUUCGGCCGGGGACUCUAGGGAGACUGCCGGUGUCAAACCGGAGGAAGGUGGGGACGAGGUCAAGUCAUCAUGGCCCUUAUGCCCAGGGCUGCAAACGUGCCACAAUGGCGGAGAUAAAGGGAAGCGAGACCGUAAGGUGGAGCCAAUCCCAAAAAUUCCGCCCCAGUACGGAUCGAGGGCUGCAACCCGCCCUCGUGAACGUCGGAAUCGCUAGUAAUCGCGCAUCAGCACGGCGCGGUGAAUGUGUUCCCGAGCCUUGUACACACCGCCCGUCAAGCCAUCCGAGCAGGAAGCACCCGAAGUCAGCAUUUAUACCGCUGCCGAAGGUGAGUCCAGUAAGGAGGACUAAGUCGGAACAAGGUA